rnacentral:tRNA from 1 species
UGGCUCAGAUGGCAGAGAACCUGCCUGCAAUGCAGGAAGUCCAGGUUUGAUCCCUGG